GGUGGUUUUACUGGGGAGGGGAGAGCGGUGCAUCUCUGCAGCCCGCAUGAGCCAUGUGCGGGAGUGGGGCUGUGAGAGAUGUUCCCUUUCCCUUCCCUCUUGUGCCAC
ensembl:miRNA